rnacentral:rRNA from 1 species
AUUGAACGCUGGCGGCAGGCCUAACACAUGCAAGUCGAGCGAGCGGCGGACGGGUGAGUAAUGCCUAGGAAUCUGCCUGGUAGUGGGGGAUAACGUCCGGAAACGGUAGCUAAUACCGCAUACCAUCAGAUGUGCCCAGAUGGGAUUAGCUAGUAGGGGGGGUAACGGCUCACCUAGGCGACGAUCCCUAGCUGGUCUGAGAGGAUGACCAGCCAAAUGGGAACGGGGACACGGUCCAGACUCCUACGGGAGGCAGAGUUGGGGAAUAUUGCAAAAUGGGCGCAAGCCUGAUGCAGCCAUGCGGGGUGUGUGAAGAGGGCCUUGGGGUUGUAAAGAACUUCAGCGGGGAGGCGUUACCCGCAGAAGAAGCACCGGCUAACUCCGUGCCAGCAGCCGCGGUAAUUC